rnacentral:tRNA from 1 species
ACCUGGGUGGCUCAGUUGGUUGAGCAACUGACUCCUGAUUUUUGCUCAGGUCAUGAUCUCAGGGUUGUGGGAUCAAGCCCACCUCAGGCU